CCUACGGGUGGCUGCAGUAGGGAAUCUUUCACAAUGGGCGAAAGCCUGAUGGAGCAACGCCGCGUGCAGGAUGAAGGCCUUCGGGUUGUAAACUGCUUUUAUCAGCGAGAAAUAUGAUGGUAACUUAUGAAUAAGGAUCGGCUAACUACGUGCCAGCAGCCGCGGUCAUACGUAGGAUCCGAGCAUUAUCCGGGGUGACUGGGUGUAAAGAGUUGCGUAGGUGGCAUAAUAAGUAGCUAGUGAAAUCUGGUGGCUCAACCAUUCAGACUAUUAGCUAAACUGUUAAGCUCGAGACCGUUAGGGGUAACUGGAAUUUCUAGUGUAGGAGUGAAAUGCGUAGAGAUCAGGAGGAACACCGGUGGCGAAGGCGGCCUGCUGGACUGCAACUGACGUUGAGGCCCGAAAGCGUGGGGAGCAAACAGGAUUAGAUACCCUAGUAGUC
rnacentral:rRNA from 1 species